UCCCAGCACCGAAUCCUCACUCUUCGGAGUGAGGAAAUGUGGUGUUUAGGUCGUGCUUUGUGCCGAUACUUCUCUCCUCAAGUCCACGUGAUUGUGGCUUCAGGCCCAGAGAGGGUGUAAGGCCCGUGGAGGCGAGAGGUUCGGUGCCCGGUGCGCCCUUAGAGUCGGGUUGUUUGGGAAUGCAGCCCAAAGCGGGUGGUAAACUCCAUCCAAGGCUAAAUACUAACACGAGUCCGAUAGCGAAGAAGUACCGCGAGGGAAAGUUGAAAAGAACUUUGAAGAGAGAGUUCAAGAGUACGUGAAACCGCUGAGAGGCAAACUGGUGGAGCUGAAAUGGCCCCGAGGAAUUCAGCCGUUUGUGGCGUCUCAGGUGGCAAUGNGGAGAUCUCACGACUCCCUUGUUGUCUGGCGAUGCUGCGAUAGGUGCACUUUCCUCGUGGGCCGGACCACGACCGGCGAGCUGUCUUGUCNAUCGUGCUNGGAAGGUGGCGCCGGCUUUGCUGGCGUGUUAUAGACUGGCAUAUGGAGCGAAUGGCGCGCUGGAGGAGAACGCCUGCCCUUGUUGGCUCGUACGUUGGCUGGUUUGUUGGUGACUUCGUUUUCACUGCUUCGGCAGAGGAGUUGAAGGCGUUGGCAUAUCGGUUGGCCUCUGCGAUUGGCGUUGUAAAGUCUGUGGUUGUGAAGUAGGUAGUCCACCUGACCCGUCUUGAAACACGGACCAAGGAGUCUAACAUUUACGCGAGUCAUUGGGUUCUACGAAACCUAAAGGCGCAGUGAAGGUAAAGAUCCACUAUGGUGGAUUGAGGUGGGAUGCUGGGUUACGUGCUCAGCCGCACUACCGGCCCGUUCCUUAUGUANCUCAUGGGGGCGGAGCAAGAGCGUACAUGUUGGGACCCGAAAGAUGGUGAUCUAUGCUUGCGCAGGUCGAAGCCAG
rnacentral:rRNA from 1 species